UAUUGGACAAUGGGCGCAAGCCUGAUCCAGCCAUGCCGCGUGGGUGAAGAAGGCCUUCGGGUUGUAAAGCCCUUUUGUUGGGGAAGAAAUCGUACGGGUGAAUAUCCUGUGCGGAUGACGGUACCCAAAGAAUAAGCACCGGCUAACUUCGUGCCAGCAGCCGCGGUAAUACGUAGGUGGCGAGCGUUGUCCGGAUUUACUGGGCGUAAAGCGCGCGCAGGCGGGCUGGUCAGUCCGGGGUGAAAUCUCACGGCUCAACCGUGAGCGGUCCCCGGAUACUGCCAGUCUUGAGGUGUCUAGAGGAGAGCGGAAUUCCCGGUGUAGUGGUGGAAUGCGCAGAUAUCGGGAAGAACACCAGUGGCGAAAGCGGCUCUCUGGGGACCACCUGACGCUGAGGCGCGAAAGCGUGGGGAGCGAAC
rnacentral:rRNA from 1 species